AACAUCGCGCACCUGCGGGAACCUGCGGAGGGAUCAUUAACAAAGUCGAAAGUCGGUCGACCGUGCUGGCGGAGACGCAAGUGCACGUCGGUCGCAAACCAAUCCACACACCGUGAACGUACGGCCUUUCGGGUUUCGCGACCCGGGGGCAAACCAUUUUUACCCACUCUGUUCGUAAAGGAAUGUCCAUUGCCUACGCGCAAAACUAUACAACUUUUAACAACGGAUCUCAGAUCGGAA
rnacentral:misc_RNA from 1 species